CCCAGUCUUUAAAGGAAGAGCAGUCAUCCUUCUUUAAUUCACUGGCCCUGCGAUGGAGCCUCCAAUGGAGGCCUAUUCGUCACGUUGUGUUUUUCUAACCAGGAACAUGUUUCUUAUCACAUGAGCUGGGCAGGGCUUUCCCCUGUAUUUCCACUCUCCCCCUCCUCAAAGCCCAACAGUGUUUUAUUGACCAGCCUCCUUGCUUUAGACUUGAGCUCGUGUUCUCUGAGGAAGUACAAGUGGUAGUUACGCAAGUCUUUCCUUCUCUGCCUUGGCAACGUUCGCCAGGGAAGAUUUACAGCCUUCACCUUUCAGAUAUAGAGGAAUUGGUUGUUUAACUUGACUGAGAAUAAUUCUGACAUGGGAAACACUGUCAGAAUUUAAACAGAUCCUCCAAGAGCCAGUCAUCUGGAAAGGCCUGCGAUUUAACAAUCACGCUGUCUUCUUUGUAUUUCCAUGGCAUAAUUGGCUAGUGACACCCUGAUUUUGAAACUGAUUCUGAGGCUCAGCUCGCUGACUUUUGACCUGGAAUUAGCGGGGCAGGAGAUAUGGAAACAAUAUGGCACUUGGACCAGAAGUGAACAGUGGAACAAAUGGGAAUUGUGGGAGAACAAGUGAAAGCGAUUUCACAUAAGAGCAGCUUUGCUGCAUCAGACCAAGAGUCCAUUUAACCCAGCAUCCUGUUUCCAGAAGUGGCUCUCCAGAUGCUUCUGGGAAGUACACAAGAAGGACAUGGAGCCAGCCGUCUUCAUUCAUCCCCCUCAAUCACCUGCUAUUCAGAGGUAGACCGCUUCUAAACAUGGAGGUUCUAAGGGUUCAGCAGCAAAGAAAGAA